CGGGAGGCAGCAGUGGGGAAUAUUGCACAAUGGGCGCAAGCCUGAUGCAGCGACGCCGCGUGAGGGAUGACGGCCUUCGGGUUGUAAACCUCUUUCACCAGGGACGAAGCGGAAGUGACGGUACCUGGAGAAGAAGCACCGGCCAACUACGUGCCAGCAGCCGCGGUAAUACGUAGGGUGCGAGCGUUGUCCGGAAUUACUGGGCGUAAAGAGCUCGUAGGCGG
rnacentral:rRNA from 1 species